rnacentral:pre_miRNA from 14 species
GUGGAAGCUCCAGUUCAUGUGCCCACCAGGAAGGGCGUUGGGGCUCCAGUGAAAGACCCCCGGAGUGGGGAGACCCUCACUCAAGUCUCGGGAUGAUGCAACCCCCCCAAGAGCUCACACAAGACC